GGCAGGAAACCAUAUGGGCGAAUGAUUACCGGCGCGUAUCGCCUUAAGUUGAUCCUGGCUCCCGACGAAGGUGGGCGGCGCGCCUAACACAUGCAAGUCGAACGAGAGAUGAGGAGCUUGCUCUUCAAAUCGCGUGGCGAACGUGUGAGUAACGCGUGAGGAACCUGCCUCAAAGAGGGGGACAACAGUUGGAAACGACUGCUAAUACCGCAUAAGCCCACGGCUCGGCAUCGAGCAGAGGGAAAAGGAGCAAUCCGCUUUGAGAUGGCCUCGCGUCCGAUUAGCUGGUUGGUGAGGUAACGGCCCACCAAGGCGACGAUCGGUAGCCGGACUGAGAGGUUGAACGGCCACAUUGGGACUGAGACACGGCCCAGACUCCUACGGGAGGCAGCAGUGGGGAAUAUUGCACAAUGGGGGAAACCCUGAUGCAGCGACGCCGCGUGGAGGAAGAAGGUCUUCGGAUUGUAAACUCCUGUUGUUGAGGAAGAUAAUGACGGUACUCAACAAGGAAGUGACGGCUAACUACGUGCCAGCAGCCGCGGUAAAACGUAGGUCACAAGCGUUGUCCGGAAUUACUGGGUGUAAAGGGAGCGCAGGCGGGAGAACAAGUUGGAAGUGAAAUCCAUGGGCUCAACCCAUGAACUGCUUUCAAAACUGUUUUUCUUGAGUAGUGCAGAGGUAGGCGGAAUUCCCGGUGUAGCGGUGGAAUGCGUAGAUAUCGGGAGGAACACCAGUGGCGAAGGCGGCCUACUGGGCACCAACUGACGCUGAGGCUCGAAAGUGUGGGUAGCAAACAGGAUUAGAUACCCUGGUAGUCCACACCGUAAACGAUGAUUACUAGGUGUUGGAGGAUUGACCCCUUCAGUGCCGCAGUUAACACAAUAAGUAAUCCACCUGGGGAGUACGACCGCAAGGUUGAAACUCAAAGGAAUUGACGGGGGCCCGCACAAGCAGUGGAGUAUGUGGUUUAAUUCGACGCAACGCGAAGAACCUUACCAAGUCUUGACAUCCCUUGACGAACAUAGAAAUAUGCUUUCUCUUCGGAGCAAGGAGACAGGUGGUGCAUGGUUGUCGUCAGCUCGUGUCGUGAGAUGUUGGGUUAAGUCCCGCAACGAGCGCAACCCUUAUGGUCAGUUACUACGCAAGAGGACUCUGGCCAGACUGCCGUUGACAAAACGGAGGAAGGUGGGGAUGACGUCAAAUCAUCAUGCCCUUUAUGACUUGGGCUACACACGUACUACAAUGGCGUUAAACAAAGAGAAGCAAGACCGCGAGGUGGAGCAAAACUCAGAAACAACGUCCCAGUUCGGACUGCAGGCUGCAACUCGCCUGCACGAAGUCGGAAUUGCUAGUAAUCGUGGAUCAGCAUGCCACGGUGAAUACGUUCCCGGGCCACUUGUACACACCGCCCGUNNC
rnacentral:rRNA from 1 species